AAAUAAAUAGAUAUUGGGAUACUACAUUUUUCCGAAACAGUAUUAAAAGAAGCUAACAUGACAAUGGCAAAUCGGGUUAAAAGGGGCAAAUAAAAUCUUACAUGUCGCAUCUCCCGCUGUCAAUGGCACAUAUGCGUUAUAUAAAAUCGGCUUGAGGGAUUAGCCGGGCUGUAGUAUGUGUAAUUAAAAGUGAAAUUGUGGGGUCCUAACGAGUUUGCGGCAGCUGCUAAAUGCAACUGCAAGUUGGCCACACAGACAAACAAAAAAAAUGUGAGCCGCACUCGAACUGGAGUUUGGCUGCAUGAUUGAUGGAUGAGUUUGAGUUUGUCAUGCAAAUUUCAACAGCCCACGAGUGGCGGUCCGCUGCUGAUGAUGAUGUUGUCUCCCGGAGUCGCCAUCUCCCCGCCGAUCACCAUGUUUUUUCAGUUCCUCAGAUACCCAUAUACCCAGAUCCCCAUCCCCAUCAUCAUUACAUACCACUAACGAGCGGCGCGUGGUCUGGCCCAAAGACUCUGUCUCCGUGCCCGUUUUCUCGGCCAUAUUCUGAUAUCAUAAAUAUGAAGCUGUUUUUAUUAAAAAUUGCCUGAUGCCCGAGACCUGGCCUAAGCCGCAUUGGCAUGUGUGUGGCAUAUAAAUUGCAUUCCGCUGGAAUUUUAAUGACAGCCUUUGGAAAUUAAUCUAACGCGUUCGGCUGGCGAACAGAAGAGCGUUGACUAGCCCAGUCACAUAUGAAGCACUGAGGAUAAAAUUAUUGAAAUUAUUAACUAUGUAAUAAAACAGGUAAAUAUCUAUAAAAUCUGGAACUCUA